rnacentral:lncRNA from 1 species
GGAGACUUGUAGACUCCACUUCCAGUAGAAAGAUAAUGCCUCAAGUGGAGGGAUGGGGUUGCCAUUCCACAGUCAAAAACUCUGACCCAGAAUUGUUCCUAUCUAAAAGAACUGCAGGGGCAAACAUGGAAAAAAGACUGAGAGAAAGGAGGUCCAGUGACCAGCAUAAUUUGGGAUACAUCUCAAGGGGCUCCAAGACCUGACACUAUUACUAAUGCUGUUGUGUUGCUUACAGAUAGGAGCAGUCCUCUGAGAGGCACAACAAGCAGCUGACCAAGACAGAAGCAGAAACUUUCACUCAUCCAAUGGAGAGAAGCUUGUUAACCCUGUGGUUGAAUUAGUGAAAGGCUGGAGAAUUUGUGGAGGAAGGUGAUUUCACUGAAAAACUUGUAAUCUCAACUAACCUGGACACCUGCAAUCUCUCAGAUUCUGAACCACCAUCCAAGCAGCAUGCACUAGCAGAUACAAGGGAACUGCAGCACUCUUCUG